UGCGUGGGUCGGAAGUUGAACCCGGGUUAACUGUUUGUAAGGCAAUUAUGCUAGCCGUUAUACCACCGACGC